UACUGCACACGGUCCCUGCUUC
rnacentral:piRNA from 1 species